rnacentral:misc_RNA from 1 species
UUUCCGUAGGUGAACCUGCGGAAGGAUCAUUAAAAAAUGUGGUACCGAUUGUUGGUACUAAUUAAUCAUCCUACCCUUUGUGAAUUUGUUUGUAACGAAUUUUUUUAAAUGGGUCUUUCCCUAAGUUGGAUUGUAGUAAAAAUACAAAAAAGACUUAGGGGAAUGACUUUUUUAAAAGACUUUUUUUUAAAUUAAAACUUUUGUAUUCAUUUGUCUAAAAUUUAUUUUUAUAAUAUAAAAACAACUUUUGACAAUGGAUCUCUUGGUUCUCGCAACGAUGAAGAACGCAGCAAAAUGCGAUAAGUAGUGUGAAUUGCAGAAUACGUGAAUCAUCGAAUCUUCGAACGCAUAUUGGCACUUUUUUAGUUUACUAAAAAAGUAUGUCUGUUUGAGUAUCAGUAAAAUAUUCUCACAAAACAAUUUGUUUUGUGGUAUGAGUGUUUUACAAACGAUAAACAAGUUGUUUCACUUUAAAUUCUUUUGUAAUUGAUUUAUACCAAUUCAUAAAUUAAAAUUGGAUAAAAUUUUCCUUUAACGAGGAAUAACCUAAACAAUUUUAAAAUUUUAUGGGUUAUAAACAUCAUAAAGGAAUCUAUACAACAAAUAACUUGAUCUCAAAUCAGAUAAGAGUACCCGCUGAACUUAAGCAUAUCAAUAAGCGGAGGAAAAGAAACUAACAAGGAUUCCCUUAGUAACGGCGAGUGAAGCGGGAAGAGCUCAAAUUUGAAAUCUUCAAGGUUUGACCUUGACGAAUUGUAGUUUAUAGAAGUGUUUUCUGUUGGAGUUUUGGUAAAAAGUUCUUGGAAUAGGACAUCAUAGAGGGUGAGAAUCCGUAUUUGACCAUGACUUUCCAGCUGUGUGAUACACUUUCAAAGAGUCGGAUUGUUUGGGAAUGCAGUCCAAAAUGGGUGGUAAAUUUCAUCUAAAGCUAAAUAUUGGCGAGAGACCGAUAGCGAACAAGUACCGUGAGGGAAAGAUGAAAAGAACUUUGAAAAGAGAGUUAAACAGUACGUGAAAUUGUCAAAAGGGAAGCGUUUGACACCAGUGUUGUUUUCUCGAAAAUCAAUUUAAUGAGUUCUUGUUUUUAAGUUAUUGUGACUUUAUCAGCGCAUUCUUAUUUUACUUGACUCAUUGAAUGCACUUUCGUUUAACAAGUCAACAUCAAUUUCUUUGGUGGUAAAAAGUUUAAAGGAAGGUGGCUUGGACUUCGGUUCAAGUGUUUAUAGCCUUUUUCUAUGCCAUCGGAGAGAUUGAGGUCUGCAGCGUAGAUCCUUCGGGGUUAGAUACCUUUGUGCUAAGUUAUAGUUUUUUAUAGACAACUUGUUGACUAUAAUUAACCCUGUAAUUUACUCGCUUAGGCUAUUU